rnacentral:tRNA from 1 species
GUAUUAGUGGUUCAGUGAUAGAAUUCUUGCUUUCCAUGCAGAAGACCUAGGUUCGACCCCUGGUCAAUGCA